AGCGAACGCUGGCGGCAGGCCUAACACAUGCCAGUCGAACGAACCUUUCGGGGUUAGUGGCGGACGGGUGAGUAACACGUGGGAACGUGCCUUUAGGUUCGGAAUAACUCAGGGAAACUUGUGCUAAUACCGAAUGUGCCCUUCGGGGGAAAGAUUUAUCGCCUUUAGAGCGGCCCGCGUCUGAUUAGCUAGUUGGUUGAGGUAAUGGCUCACCAAGGCGACGAUCAGUAGCUGGUCUGAGAGGAUGAUCAGCCACAUUGGGACUGAGACACGGCCCAAACUCCUACGGGAGGCAGCAGUGGGGAAUCUUGCGCAAUGGGCGAAAGCCUGACGCAGCCAUGCCGCGUGAAUGAUGAAGGUCUUAGGAUUGUAAAAUUCUUUCACCGGGGACGAUAAUGACGGUACCCGGAGAAGAAGCCCCGGCUAUCUUCGUG
rnacentral:rRNA from 1 species